rnacentral:rRNA from 1 species
UGGCGCACGGGUGCGUAACGCGUGGGAAUCUGCCCCUGGGUUCGGAAUAACAGCGAGAAAUUGCUGCUAAUACCGGAUGAUGACGAAAGUCCAAAGAUUUAUCGCCCAGGGAUGAGCCCGCGUAGGAUUAGCUAGUUGGUGAGGUAAGAGCUCACCAAGGCGACGAUCCUUAGCUGGUCUGAGAGGAUGAUCAGCCACACUGGGACUGAGACACGGCCCAGACUCCUACGGGAGGCAGCAGGU